UUUGGAAAGACUGGAGGAGCUCAUUUAUGUAACUCGAAUUUAAGGAAGCACGUGUACCAACUUAGAUCAUAAAUCGCAUUAUAAAGGGUUCAUGCUGUAGCUGGGAACCGAGUGAACAAAUGAAGAUAACUUCAUCAAAGAAAAUAUCAACCGAAAUGACAGGAUCCGCAGAGAACCAACAAAAUAUGCAAAUCAAAUCUCCACAGUUUAUUUCUUCUGCAAGGAAAAUCUGCAGAUCAGAGAGAUACUUGAAAAUAGUUUGGUCACCUCAUCCCUUCCUGCCACCACCCUCUGUGCCAUGUCAUUUACCAAAAGCAAGCAUUGACAUCCAAACCAUCACCAAAAGACAUGUACUUUUAAAAAGAAGAAAAGACUCAAUUCCACAACGCUCAAAAAUUUCCAACCAAUUCGAAUCCAGGGCCCCAAAGAUAACUUCCCUCCAUCCUACAAGAAAAUCUUGAGCGCUGAUUCUACAUUCUUCCACUGCAAUUCCUAUGCCACAUGUAAUGUUUUUAGAAACAAACAUGUUAAGUCAAAAGCAGUUCCAGCCUUUCCCACCCACGUGGGCCCAAGCAGCAGAGUUUGCU